rnacentral:antisense_RNA from 1 species
UUAGACAGAGGCUGUUCCAUUCCGGCCAGAGUCACCAGCUCCGGACCAGAAAGUAAAAAACCCGAUUACCAGUCGGGUUUUUUUAC